rnacentral:misc_RNA from 1 species
GUAGGUGAACCUGCGGAGGGAUCAUUAACACUGUAUCCAAUAUCAACCAACUGUGAACUAUAGAUGUCCCUAGCGAUUCGUAAAGCGUAUAAAGGAAAGCUGUUAUGUGAAGAACUCUGGUUGUAGGGAUGUAUUCUCUGCAUAGAUGUGACUGUGUGCGUAAUGUGCUAAUGUUGCAUAUUGCUUUGCUUGGGGUUUAGCAUUGAUUAUGAUAUGGUUGGUUGGUUGGAGAGCGUCAUCGCGUAUGCUC